rnacentral:lncRNA from 1 species
UCAUGCGGAGGGAGUUGCCAAGGAGGAAUUUACUGCGUCGGAGGACGUUGGCGAAGGCAUCCCCAGCCUGCGCAAAUCUGUCCGGAACUUUAUCAGUUCAUUCUGGAUUAGGUUUGGGCGGGCUGAGGCGAAGAAAAUGGCGGAGGAUCGUCGAGCUGAGGUUUGUAUUAUUUGGUUAUUCAUUUGCAUUGUUUUUGUUGCUUUUCAAUGUUAUUUAAGAUAACUGUUUUGUAGGAGAUUGCGAAGAAGAAGGCUAAGGUUGAUAAGGCUGGUCCUUCGCGUCCACUAAGCGAGGCGCAUCCUCCGACUCAGGCUGAAGCGGAGGCUUUUGAUGUUGGUGCCAAAGCUCCGGAUGUAUCUGCUGCCAAGGCUUCAGAGCAGCCCGAAGCUCCUGCUCCUCCUCCGCCUCAGGUGUGAGGUUUUAUAGUUUGUAGGUUUUUUAGUUUUUUGCAUCUGCUGCGCAUGCGACGCUUUUUUUAAAGAAAAGCCGGAGGUCUUGACUUCAAUUGUAAAUACUUUGCUGGUAAUGUAAUAUAUCAGGUUGUUUUUGGAUGAACGUCUGUUUUUACGCUUUUAUCAUGCGCAGGUCUCUAGCGGAGGACCUGCGCAGGAUGUUUGCGAGACUCCGCUUUCAAUUUUCUACAAAGGAAUUUAUGUUUCUGGCGAGUUGUGGGAUUAUUGGCGGAUUGCUUUUCCUAACAUGAGAUUGGUGGAUAUGUUUGAGUUUGUUGGAUAUGACAUUGAUGACGAACGAUCUGAAUUUGUUCGGUCGCUUGCGUGCCGAGGUUCAUGGCCUCCGGCUUAGGUUGUGGUUUUUAUUUCAUGCUUUCUUUGUCGUAGGAUAUUUGUAUAUUUUUUGUCAUGACUUGGUUUGAUGUGUUUAUGCAGCUGUCUUAUCCUAUCCUUCGCAUCUU